UUAAAGUCUAACCUGCCCACUGAAAAUUUUAAAUGGCCGCAGUAUUCUAACUGUGCAAAGGUAGCAUAAUCAUUAGUCUUUUAAUUGAAGGCUGGAAUGAAUGGUUGGACGAAAUAUUAACUGUUUCAUUUAAAUUUUUUAUAGAAUUUUAUUUUUUAGUCAAAAAGCUAAAAUAAAUUUAAAAGACGAGAAGACCCUAUAAAUCUUUAUAUUUUAUUUAUUUUAAUUAUAAAGAUUAUUUUUAUUAUAAUAAAUUAAAAUAUUUUAUUGGGGUGAUAUUAAAAUUUAAAAAACUUUUAAUUUUGAAAACCAUUAAUUUAUGAAUAAUUGAUCCAUUAAUAAUGAUUAAAAAUUUAAGUUACUUUAGGGAUAACAGCGUAAUUUUUUUGGAGAGUUCAUAUCGAUAAAAAAGAUUGCGACCUCGAUGUUGGAUUAAGAUAUAAUUUUGGGUGUAGCCGUUCAAAUUUUAAGUCUGUUCGACUUUUAAAUUCUUACAUGAUCUGAGUUCAAACCGGCGUAAGCCAGGUUGGUUUCUAUCUUUAAAAAAUUAAAAUAUUUUAGUACGAAAGGACCAAAUAUUAAAAUAAUUAUAUUUUUAAUAAGAAUGUUAUUAAUUUAA
rnacentral:rRNA from 1 species